rnacentral:rRNA from 1 species
AUUGAACGCUGGCGGAAUGCUUUACACAUGCAAGUCGAACGGCAGCACGGACUUCGGUCUGGUGGCGAGUGGCGAACGGGUGAGUAAUACAUCGGAACGUGCCCAGUCGUGGGGGAUAACGUAGCGAAAGCUACGCUAAUACCGCAUACGAUCUAAGGAUGAAAGCGGGGGACCGUAAGGCCUCGCGCGAUUGGAGCGGCCGAUGGCAGAUUAGGUAGUUGGUGGGGUAAAGGCUCACCAAGCCGACGAUCUGUAGCUGGUCUGAGAGGACGACCAGCCACACUGGGACUGAGACACGGCCCAGACUCCUACGGGAGGCAGCAGUGGGGAAUUUUGGACAAUGGGCGAAAGCCUGAUCCAGCAAUGCCGCGUGUGUGAAGAAGGCCUUCGGGUUGUAAAGCACUUUUGUCCGGAAAGAAAUGGCUCUGGUUAAUACCUGGGGUCGAUGACGGUACCGGAAGAAUAAGGACCGGCUAACUACGUGCCAGCCGCCGCAGUAA